ensembl:lncRNA
GAGAGAUGGAGGAGAGAUGAGGGAGAGAUAAGGGAGAGAUGGAGGAGAGAUGAGGGAGAGAUGGAGGAGAGUUGGAGGAGAGAUGGAGGAAAUGGAGGAGAGAUGAGGGAGAAAUGGAGGAAGACAUGGAUGAGUUAUGAGGGAGAGAUGGAGGAGAGAUGAGGGAGAGAUAGAGGAAGAGAUGGAGGAGAGAUGGAGGAGAGAUGAGGGAGAGAUGGAGGAGAGAUGAGGGAGAGAUGAAGGUGAGAUGAGGGAGAGAAGAGGGCAAGAUGGAGAGGUGGAGAAGAGAUGGAGAAGAGAUGAGGGAGAGAUGGAGGAAGAGAUGGAGGAGAGAUGGAGGAGAGAUGAGGGAGAGAUGAGGGAGAGAUGGAGGAGAGAUGAGUGAGGAGAUGGAGGAGAGAUGAGGGAGAGAUGGAGGAGAUUGAGGAGAGAUGGAGGA